rnacentral:rRNA from 1 species
GUCCAUGCCGUAAACGUUGGGCACUAGGUGUGGGGCUCAUUCCACGAGUUCCGUGCCGCAGCAAACGCAUUAAGUGCCCCGCCUGGGGAGUACGGCCGCAAGGCUAAAACUCAAAGGAAUUGACGGGGGCCCCGCACAAGCGGCGGAGCAUGCGGAUUAAUUCGAUGCAACGCGAAGAACCUUACCAAGGCUUGACAUACAUCGGAAAAGUGCAGAGAUGUGCUCCCCGCAAGGUCGGUGUACAGGUGGUGCAUGGUUGUCGU